rnacentral:rRNA from 1 species
UACGUAGGGUGCAAGCGUUAAUCGGAAUUACUGGGCGUAAAGCGUGCGCAGGCGGUUGUGCAAGACCGAUGUGAAAUCCCCGGGCUUAACCUGGGAAUGGCAUUGGUGACUGUACGGCUAGAGUGUGCCAGAGGGGGGUAGAAUUCCACGUGUAGCAGUGAAAUGCGUAGAGAUGUGGAGGAAUACCGAUGGCGAAGGCAGCCCCCUGGGAUAACACUGACGCUCAUGCACGAAAGCGUGGGGAGCAAACAGG